GGGGCUGUAGCUCAGCUGGUUAGAGCACCGUGUUGAUAACGCGGGGGUCGUUGGUUCGAGAGUCCAACCAGCCCUACCA
rnacentral:tRNA from 1 species